rnacentral:rRNA from 1 species
UACGGUAGGGGGCUAGCGUUGUCCGGAUUUAUUGGGCGAAAGAGCGUGUAGGCGGCCAGGUAGGUCUGCUGUGAAAACUCGAGGCUUAACCUCGAGAUGUCGGCGGAAACCAUCUGGCUAGAGUCCGGAAGAGGAGAGUGGAAUUCCUGGUGUAGCGGUGAAAUGCGCAGAUAUCAGGAAGAACACCCGUGGCGAAGGCGGCUCUCUGGGACGGUACCGACGCUGAGACGC